rnacentral:ncRNA from 1 species
GCUUGGUCCUGGCCUUACCAUCAACUGUUACUUAACUUACACAUGCAAGUAUCCGCACACCCGUGAAAAUGCCCUCACCUCUCAGACAGAAUGAGGAGCCGGUAUCAGGCACAAACACCCGCCCAUGACACCUAGCUUCGCCACACCCCCAAGGGCCCCCAGCAGUGAUAAACAUUGUUAAUUAGCGCCAGCUUGACCCAGUUAAAGUAAUGAGGGCCGGCCAACUCGGUGCCAGCCGCCGCGGCUACCCCGCUCGGCCCAAGUUGAUGCCCUCGGCGUUAAGCGUGAUUAAAGUGAUACAAAUAUUAAAAUUAAACCCAGCCAAGUUGUCAAACACUCGCCCGCAGAAACCCACACACGAAAGUUAUUCUAAUACACUUGAACCCACGACAGUUGGGGCACAAACUGGGAUCAGAUACCCCACUAUGCCCAACCGUAAAAUAUUAACUUACACCCCCCCCCGCCAGAGAACUACGAGCCCAAUCUUAAAACUCAAAGGACUUGACGGUGCCCCACCCACCUAGAGGAGCCUGUUCUAUAAUCGACACCCCCCGCUACACCUUACCACUUCUAGCAUAUCAGUCUGUAUACCUCCGUCACAAGCCCACCGUAUGAACGCUCAUAGGGGGCUAAAAGAUUCCCCAUCAACACGUCAGGUCAAGGUGCAACUUACGGACUGGAAAGCAAUGGGCUACAAUUUCUACAUUAGAACACACGAAAAACUGCAUGCAACACAGUCAUUGAAGGUGGAUUUAGCAGUAAAAAGAAAACAGAGAGUUCUUUUAAAUUAGGCGCUGGGGCGCGCACACACCGCCCGUCACCCUCUUCAAAUGCCAACAGCAUUAGAAGAGGCAAGUCGUAACAUGGUAAGUGUACUGGAAAGUGCACUUGGAUAACAAAAUGUAGCUUAUCUUAAAGCAUCUCGCUUACACCGAGAUAGAUGUCCCUAGCAGACCAUUUUGAGCCAGAUCCUCAGCCCACACACACAUCACCCAAUACACGAUAAGACAAAACAUUCUCAUCAUUAAGUAAAGGCGAUUGAAAAAUGACUAGGAGCCAUAACGAUAGUACCGCAAGGGAAACAUGAAAUAAAAUGAAAAAAUUAAAGUAUAACAAAGCAGAGCUCCUACCUCGUACCUUUUGCAUCAUGGUCUAGCCAGUCUAACCAAGCAAAGCGCCCCUUAAGUUUGACCCCCCGAAACUAGGCGAGCUACUUUUAAACAGCCUUACGAGCCAACCCAUCCCCGUAGCAGAGGGGCGGGAAGAUUUAAAAGUAGAGGCGACACACCUAUCGAGCCUAGAGAUAGCUGGUUAUUUAGGAAAAGGAUUCAAGUCCACCUUUAAGUUUUUCCUAGUACACUUAAACUUCAAACAAACUUAAAAGUCAUUCAAAUAAGGUACAGCCUAUUUGAACAAGGAAACAGCCUGCAGCAAGGGUAACGACCACUCCAUGUGACGAGGUAGGCCUAAGAGCAGCCAACCUUUAAAAAGCGUCCAAGCUUUACCACCAUUCAUCAUCAAUCCCACCAUCAACUCGCAACCCCAAACCACUACUAAAUAACCCCAUACCUGUAUGGGGAAUAUAAUGCUAGAACUAGUAACAAGAAGAAGAACUUCUCCUGAAUACAAACAUAGGCCACAAUGAACCAUUCACUGGCACUUACCGCUGCUAAGCCCACAGUAAUAACACCACAAGAAAACCCUACCCCACUCAGCGUUAACCUAACACCAGACUAUUACAGGAAGGAUUAAAAAAGGGGGAAGGAACUCGGCAAAUAUUAGCUCCGCCUGUUUACCAAAAACAUCGCCUCUUGACAAACUAUGAGAGGUCCAGCCUGCCCAGUGACAAAGUUAAACGGCCGCGGUACCCUAACCGUGCGAAGGUAGCAUAAUCACUUGUUCUUUAAAUCAGGACUAGUAUGAACGGCCUCACGAGAGCUAUACUGUCUCCCCCCUUCAAUCAGUGAAACUGAUCUCCUCGUGAAGAAGCGAGGAUAGUCAUAUAAGACGAGAAGACCCCGUGGAACUUAAAACUUGCACCACUGCCCCCAUACCACAUCCAAAUAAUUCGGACAGCAUGGCAGCGAGUCUUUCGGCUGGGGCGACCGCGGAGAAAAAUAAAACCCCCGUGAUGAAAGGAACACCCUAAUCAAAGAGCUACCGCUCUAAGAAUCAAUAAAUUGACACAUUGACCCAAACAUUUUUUUGAUCAACGAACCAAGUUACCCCGGGGAUAACAGCGCAAUCCAUUUCAAGAGACCCCAUCAACAAAUGGG